rnacentral:rRNA from 1 species
CAGGACGAACGCUGGCGGCGUGCCUAACACAUGCAAGUCGAGCGAGGAGAUCCUUCGGGAUGAUCCUAGCGGCGGACGGGUGAGUAACACGUGGGCAACCUGCCUCAUAGAGAGGAAUAGCCUUCCGAAAGGGAGAUUAAUACCUCAUAACAUUGCAGUUUCGCAUGGAACAGCAAUUAAAGGAGCAAUCCGCUAUGAGAUGGGCCCGCGGCGCAUUAGCUAGUUGGUGAGGUAACGGCUCACCAAGGCGACGAUGCGUAGCCGACCUGAGAGGGUGAUCGGCCACAUUGGGACUGAGACACGGCCCAGACUCCUACGGGAGGCAGCAGUGGGGAAUAUUGCACAAUGGGGGAAACCCUGAUGCAAGCAACGCCGCGUGAGUGAUGACGGCCUUCGGGUUGUAAAGCUCUGUCUUCAGGGACGAUAAUGACGGUACCUGAGGAGGAAGCCACGGCUAACUACGUGCCAGCAGCGGC